rnacentral:lncRNA from 1 species
GUGAUGGCAAUGGGAGUGGUGGCAAUGGGAAUGGUGGCAAUGGGAAUGGUGGCAAUGGGAAACACCAGGAGUGAUGGCAAUGGGAAUGAUGGCAAUGGGAAUGGUGGCAAUGGGAAACACCAGGAGUGAUGGCACUGGGAGUGGUGGCAAUGGGAGACACCUGUGGGUAGGAGGGCCAGGCCAGCCCAUAUCUGCAGGAGCUGCUGCAGGUUGUGUUUUACUUUGGAUGGUGCUGCUGGAGAUGGAGGAAGUUUUUGGGAGCGAGGAAGAGAAGAGAUUCUACAGGAUUUGCUGGCCGAGUGUGAUAAUGGCAGCUGACACAGCUUUCCACCAGUUACUCCUGUAAGGAGCCUCUGGAGCAUUCUACUGCUUGAGGCUGUGUAUAUGGAAACAAAGUGGAAAUCUGGAUGUUUGAUGAAGAGACAUGCCAGUGUCCUUUCUGAAGUGAUGCCUUAGUAGGCUGAAGGACAGGACAACCAUGGACUACAUGAGUUAUUCUCCAUCUCAGUGCUGCCACUGGUUUUAUCUUGAAUCUUAUCUUUAUCUAAAUUUUAUCUUUAUCUGGAAUACCAGAGUCCAAGUUUUAACAUUCCAACUUUAAUGUGCAUCUCUCUUUAUAUGGUGGAAGGCAAUUCAGAGGCUGCUUUUUCUUGCUCCCCUUUGUCCAUAUGUCACUGCAUGCAAGCAAUAUCAUAUUGUCAUCCUGAGAGGAGCAGAUGGGCUGGUUCCUUCUGGACAACAAUAAUUCACUGUGGUUUUCCCUUUCCCCUAUGAAAUUUGUACUAAAAAAAUGUUGUCCUGGAGUAAUAAACCUGGAGCCAGAUGGACCUACCA